UACGUAGGGGGCUAGCGUUGUCCGGAAUCAUUGGGCGUAAAGAGCGCGUAGGCGGCCAGAUAAGUCCGGUGUGAAAGUCACAGGCUCAACCUGUGAAUGCCGCUGGAAACUGUCUGGCUAGAGUCCGGAAGGGGCGAGUGGAAUUCCUGGUGUAGCGGUGAAAUGCGCAGAUAUCAGGAGGAACACCAAUGGCGAAGGCAGCUCGCUGGAACGGUACUGACACUGAGGCGCGAAAGCGUGGGGAGCGAACAGG
rnacentral:rRNA from 1 species